rnacentral:lncRNA from 1 species
CAGCGUUCAUAACGAACGGUUUAUUUGAACACCAACACAAAGGGAAUAAUGCUCUCGGUCCGAGGACCCCUUUUCCUCCAAGACCUGCGCUUACAGCCAGCCUGCCUUAGAGCCCCUAAGUUCUUUCCCAACACACCCGGAGACACGGUCACCCCACCAUUUUCCCCCUAAGUGCCCCCAGUGGUUACACACGUUUAACAUUAUUUCCCAUAAUGCAACUAUUUACAUUAAAGCAGUAACGUGGGUCGUUACAUAGCCCCCCAUCAAAAAGAAUGGCAGCGUCCCCGCUGCUGCCUGCCCCACAAGUGUCCCAACGUCCAGCGCUGUUCUCACACGCAUCCGGUCGGGAGUACAGGUCCCAGACGCUCACCGCUGGUGGUUGGGGCGGGGAAACCUGCAAGAGACCCCCAUGGCGGCGCGCUCGGGGGUCGGGGUGGCCAUCCUCGUCCCCCGUCCGCCCGGCCUCGGCCCCUGCAGGACUCCCUCACUCGCACGUGGCGCGUCCCGAACAUGGCGGCGCCCACGUGGCUUUCCCUAACCAGCUUCCGUGGGACCUUCGCGACGGCUCCCCGCAGCCGCUCCGCGUUGUCCCCGCUCCGUUGUCGGGGGCGAACAUCUUUCUCGCGCCCCCCGUCGUCUCGCCGCGCGCCUCGCCGCUCGGCCGUCUUUCGGCGAAGGACUCGGCGAAGGACCCGGCAAAGCCGCCCUGCUUGCCGCUCUCGCCUCCGCCGAUUCGCCGCGACGCUCGCAAAACUGGCCGCCUCUUGCUACGCAGCCCUCCUCCUUCUGCGGCGCCUGCUCCGCCGCGCCGCUCCUCAACAACGCCCGCCUGGGCUUCAGGCAGGCUGGGCGCUUUUUCCCCGAAAGUGCCGGACUCCCGUUCCGCGGGAGAAUUCGCGUCGGCGGUUCCGCUCCUCUCCGACACGGAGCUUUGCCCGUCCACAGACGAGGCACACUGCUCCGCGUCGCCCAGCACGGCAUCCGUCCUGCUCGAGAAAGCGGCGCUCUUCGCGGGGCGACUUUCCUCCGCGGUCGACGGCGGUUCGCUGCCUCUUCCUGCCGCUCUUUCUCUGGGCGCAGGGAGACCCCACUCGACCUGCUCGCCC